ACCCUAUAACCCAAUCCAGAGCAAGCGAGUAGAUUAAAUAUGAGAGGAGAGAUAUAGCCAUACUAGAGUUCAUCAUGAAUUAUCACCCAAUAGGGUGAGUAUAACAGUUAUAAAUUUAAAUAAUAUGUAUAUAGCUAGGUAAGCCACUCCCAGAAAAUCAACCGCCAAAUUGAAUAACAAACAAAUAUUGUUAACUUACUCUACACAAUUGAACACAUGGCACUUAUGACAUCGGAAUCCCGGGAUGACAGAAGGAUAAGGUGGGCAUUGGAAAUAUGAAUAGGAUGUAGGGACAGGAAAGAUGGACAACGAGAGGCUUUGGGAGGAGGAUGAGGAUCGUGGGAAGGUCUAUAAAGGGUUUGGAGCACAAGAUCGGGUCUUUUCGACUUGAACCUCCGGAGGAAUAAGAUCGAGUUUUUACAAAUACCAGUGAUUCCAAAGCGAAAGCUUAGUUUAAUAAAAAAGUUACGCUGUGCAUAUAGCAAAUUAGAGUCAGGACCCAUUAGCGUUUUGCUGAGAAACCCUGGUUAUCCAAGAAGGGUAGCGAAGCCCGACCGAGAUACCGGCACGAUCGCCGGUGAAGAUUUACCCAAGCCACCUAGUCGCCAUCUUGGGCCCGAGUUCCCGAGCCCACGCCGAGAAGCAGAGCAUCCCACAUCCCACAUCGAGAUUCCGUCAUCGCUGGCCAGCCUACACAUUACACCCGACACGACACACACACACACCGAAAAA